GACGAACGCUGGCGGCGUGCCUAAUACAUGCAAGUCGAACGCUGAAGGAGGAGCUUGCUCUUCUGGAUGAGUUGCGAACGGGUGAGUAACGCGUAGGUAACCUGCCUGGUAGCGGGGGAUAACUAUUGGAAACGAUAGCUAAUACCGCAUAAGAGUAGAUGUUGCAUGACAUUUACUUAAAAGGUGCAAUUGCAUCACUACCAGAUGGACCUGCGUUGUAUUAGCUAGUUGGUGGGGUAACGGCUUACCAAGGCGACGAUACAUAGCCGACCUGAGAGGGGGAUCGGCCACGCUGGGACUGAGACACGGCCCAGACUCCUACGGGAGGCAGCAGUAGGGAAUCUUCGGCAAUGGACGGAAGUCUGACCGAGCAACGCCGCGUGAGUGAAGAAGGGUGUCGGAUCGUAAAGCUCUGUUGUAAGAGAAGAACGAGUGUGAGAGUGGAAAGUUCACACUGUGACGGUAGCUGACCAGAAAGGGACGGCUAACUACGUG
rnacentral:rRNA from 1 species